CAGUUUCUCUUUUAUUCAAGCUGCUUCUACAAAAUGCAUUUAAUUGCUAUUUAACGACAAUUUUAUAUCGUCCAAUUUCUAACGAUAUUCCCAAUGUUAUUUGUUCUACUCAAAAAUUCCCCUUGUAAUUUAUUUUUAAUUGACAAUUUUAGCUGGGCACGUUGGAACGACGGUAUCGUAUAGUCAAGGCUGGAAUGCGAGUUGAACGGCUAUGGAAUGCGGUUCUGCUUUCCCAAGACCCCAUGGGAUGAACCUAACGAUAGCUUUACUUCGGUUCAAAGUCAUCUUUUUCUACCCUUGGAAGAAACCUGGCUAACAUAUAUCCAACGAAGAAACUAUUCAGUUAGAAAAAUAAACGACCGAGGAUCGUUAGUACUUCGACGCUGUACACCUUCGUAGAUCGUAAAUUCUUCCAAAUUCUUUCCUGUCCACGUCGUAACGCGAUCUAAUGUUUCAGCUGAAUGCAAACGCUGUUUUUCAACAGCAUGAUUCGACAACAUUGGUAAGGGGAUCAGGUAAUGGGCUCUAACGGGAGAAACGGGCUAUCCUGGUCAGAUCUUGAAACGACAACAAACGAUGAGAGAUGACAUAAGUUGGUAAACGAGAAUAAAGAGAACGCGGAACGGAGCAUGAUGAAAGAAACGAGAAGCAUUGAAUACCAGGACGUCAUAUCCGGGCGUGAUAGAUCGAGCCAAGACUGUUUACCUGGCUCGAAGUUCUUCUUCAUUCGCCGCCACUGUCUCGCGUAGACUAGAGCUGAGCAUCCUGCGACCAAGAAGAAAAGAAU